rnacentral:rRNA from 1 species
AUACGAAGGGGUCUAGCGUUGUUCGGAUUUACUGGGCGUAAAGCGCACGUAGGCGGAUUGAUUAGUUAGGGGUGAAAUCCCGAGGCUCAACCUCGGAACUGCCUUUAAUACUGUCAAUCUCGAGACCGGAAGAGGUGAGUGGAACUCCUAGUGUAGAGGUGGAAUUCGUAGAUAUUAGGAAGAACACCAGUGGCGAAGGCGGCUCACUGGUCCGGUACUGACGCUGAGGUGCGAAAGCGUGGGGAGCGAACAGGAUUAGAUACCCUAGUAGUCC